ensembl:lncRNA
CCACAAACCACAUUUUUUAGUCAUUCCGUACCACGGGAUAUCUGAAUUUACAUGUGUUAGAGACUGCUGCUUUGGUUAAAGCCACAGGGACAUGAGGCUCUCAACCCAUGGCCUGGGUCUCCAUGCCCCCCAACUCCUCCACCACACAGUACAGAAAUGGACACUGCAAAUUUCUGUCUGAGGCCAGCCUUGGCAGCGGAGCCAACGAGAAGAGAAACAGCCUGUGCUCUAAUAAGUAAAAUAUUUAUGUCUUGCUUUGGCUAACAUACCCUCUCUCAAUAAAAUAUUUUUCCCAGGAGGAAAUCUAUGAAAGGGAGGGAGCUCCUUUAUUAUGUCCCCAAAUCAUUCUUUUCUGCUGCCCUUCAAAAGCCUGGAAAUCAAAGACCACUGUAGUCCAAAGCUUUUUGUUGCCGUUCUUGACUUUGUUAUCGUUAGUUAUUACAAUCAUUACAUUGAUUACCAUUAUGAGCUCUCAAGAGGCC